rnacentral:lncRNA from 1 species
CCUUUUUAUUUAAUUUUUUUUUGAUAUGCUUACAUAUUUUGAAUGUAAUGAUAUGCUUACUUCUAAUCUCCACUACCAAACACAAGGCCACUUGCCAUACGAUGCUAGUUUGUAGCUUCCUUCGUAUCCCCAUGCUCACUAAAGCCCUUUACGGUGUGGAGUAAAGCUCAAAAUAUAUUGAGCUCCACCAAGAACAAAUAGGCACUGAUGCUCAAAUGGUUGCAGUGUUCGGCAUCACUUAAUGAAGGCGUAGCUCCCACCAGAUGCCUCAAACCGUGAUGAAUGAAACCACAAGAAAAUGAAAAGGCUACUCAUACUUUCUCUCUGACACACCUGACACAAUUUCUCUCUCUUGUCUUUGGAGCACCGGUGCUUCUACAUACUCAACUCCUAUUUAGGUCUUGUUUAGUUUCAAAAAAUUUUACAAAAUAGAAAUAGUAGCAUUUUCAUUUCUCUCUCUCUUGGC